rnacentral:rRNA from 1 species
UACGUAGGGUGCGAGCGUUUGUCCGGAAUUACUAGGCGUAAAGAGCUCGUAGGUGGUUUGUCGCGUUGUUCGUGAAAACCGGGGGCUUAACCCUCGGCGUGCGGGCGAUACGGGCAGACUUGAGUACUGCAGGGGAGACUGGAAUUCCUGGUGUAGCGGCGGAAUGCGCAGAUAUCAGGAGGAACACCGGUGGCGAAGGCGGGGUCUCUGGGCAGUAACUGACGCUGAGGAGCGAAAGCGUGGGGAGCGAACAGG